rnacentral:rRNA from 1 species
UACGAACCGUCCAAACGUUAUUCGGAAUCACUGGGCUUACAGAGUUCGUAGGCGGCGGAGAAAGUAGGGUGUGAAAGCCCUCGGCCUAACCGAGGAAUAGCGCCCUAAACUACUUCGCUUGAGGAGGCUAGAGGUGAGCAGAACAGAUGGUGGAGCGGUGAAAUGCGUUGAUAUCAUCUGGAAUACCGGAGGCGAAGGCGGCUAACUGGGACCUUUCUGACGCUGAGGAACGAAAGCUAGGGUAGCGAACGGG